CUUGAUCUGAAGGAGCAUGCGAUGAAAAUGUUCACUAAAUCAGGAUCGACUUUGGGCGACAUCAAGCUGAUCGUCGUGGACAGGCCUCUGGACAACGACUCUGCUUCCCUGUCUGACUGCGGCAUCAAACCACACACUAAGGUCCAGAUGGUGACCAAGGUGAACGCAGGCUGAACAUCAGCAGCAGACAGAGACACCUGCAGGAUGAUUUACAUCACGACAGACGCCAUUGCUGUCAGCUCAACUCAAACGACUCAUAAUGGUUUUGCUUUCACUUUUUUGAAAAAAGCCAGCUCAGUUUUUUUUUUUUGUUCAUUUAAUACAAUAACAACCUUUGCCCAUUGUAGACGUUUGGAAGAUUAAGAACACAGCUUUGUAAAGUUAUUUGUAAAUAUUUUUUGGUAUACUAUUGUGUAAAGUAUGUACAGGUAUAUAAGAUAUACCAACAAACCCAAAUGAUUCUAUGAAUUAAAUAAUAUGUAGCUACUGUCUCCAUUCGAGGUGAAAACUCCGGGAGUUUCUGUAAUAUCUCACAUAAAUGUGUUACUGAGCUUUAGAUCAGCACUAAAUGUUUUUCAUAUGUAUCAGGAAAAAUUUAAUAAAAUGUUUCUGCCUUA